UUUAAACAUGGAAAGUGAAUGUGCACCUAGUAAAUGUCAGUGAGUGUGCCACUAUAUGUGCAUCCAAUUCAAUUCGUAUUUUUUUUUUGCUGACGAAACUGAUCUCCAAAACAGUGUGGACUAAAUUAUUUUAAAUUGCAAUGAUGUGGAAAACUAAAAAGCCAAUUUAUUACAUCACCAAUAACAUCAAAAGAGAAGUAUUUGAACUGGCCACGAGACUGAAUAUAAAUUUGGAAUUUGUAUAUGUUAUGAAAAUUUAUAUUCUUACAUCUACUUUUUACCUGAUCCCUUUAACUCAAAGGUAAAACACGCUACAGAAUUUUGCAUGUACAUGUGCACAUGCAGUUAGGGGCUAGGGGCAAGCUACAAAAUUAUUCAGUCCAGCUUCAAUAUAUAUUCAUCUAAACUAUGAUUCAUUCACAACUACAUCAAUUGUCAUGCUGAGAAAGAGAAAGCUCUGAUACUUAAUGCUUAUAUUUCUGAAAAUUUGGUGGUCCAACACAACAUGAAACAUUACCGGUACAUGAUGUAACACAGACAUAAAUCAAGGUUCUCCCUUGCCAUGCUAUAAGCUCCAUAUGCAAUUCAUCAAUGCCCAUCAGCCUUAUCCACCAAAAUAUAGCCCUGACACACAAACAAUAGAGAUGCAAGUUUAGGGAUAUGUCAUUAGCACGCACCAAAAGAAUUUGUAUUAACAACUUCAUUCAAUCCCAACCGCCAAUUCCCGAAGCCAACUUAUUAAAUCAAAUCAGUAAGUUGGCAUGCUCAAUAACAAAUUAGUAAGAGAGCCCGACGAACACGACAAGCCAAAGAAUCUUCGAGAACUCGUCCACUUCUUUUACAGCCAUCUCGCCCGACGCAGCUGCAUACCUGAUGUACCCUCCGCUUCGCUCCAUCUGUUCGAGCUACCCCUGCCCAAGCCUGACCCAACCUAGCUUCGCCUUGUUACAAGGUGCAUCAGUGGAUAGAAAACAGCCAGCUGACCUGGGCGGAUGAGAGGCCACCACUGGAUAUCUGGAUCUCGUUCCAAGCCUCUCUCCAUCACCUCUCGUUGUUCCAAGACGCCACUGGAUCCCAUUCCCCGGUUGCCUGAGGCUGCCAGUGGAGGGACAUGUGACGGCUAGGGCAUCGCGGCAGGGGGGGCGUGCUUAGGUCUAAUGGCCGUCGUGUGUUAGGCCGCCGGGGUCGCCGAUGGGGUGGUGGUCCAUCUACUGGGGGCGUCGGCAUCACUGACGUGGAGGCGGCGUGGCGGGGGUGGGAGAAGGCGACGCUCCUUUUUUUCUUCCACUCCAUCGUGGAUUAUUAUGCAAAGAGAUUGCAUUAUUACCAGAAAGCGGGGAGAUUGCCGAUUAUUCCAUCAGGAGAGACCUGGGCGAAGGAAAGAGAUCUGGUGUACGAUUGGAAGCUAAACGAUCGAAACGAACGACAUACCAUGACCUACCAUCACGACCGCAGACUCCUCUUUAGGAGUAGAGAUUGGGAGGCGGGGAUGGGUGCGGCCAACGAAGUCGCGGUAGGUCGUCAUCUUCCAGGAAGACGGCGCCCCGCGGGAGGUCGGCGUUGACCAGGAAGGCGGCGGCAGCGCACAAACCUAGCUUCCGAGCGGGCUGCCGCUGAGCGGAACCGUUCGCUUGCCAAACAGGAUGAAACAACCCGUGGACGAGGGUGUUGGUGUGACGAAAAAAGACAAAAAAAUCACGAAACAGAUAACAAAUUAAAUAGGUACAUAAAUGCUUUCAUGAUGAGGUUUAUUUGUUUCCAGAAAAUUCGUUAUUUGUUUCUAUAAAAUCUGUUAUUUGUUUCUUAAGAUAAAUUGCAUUAAUAAGAGAGAUCGGUUGAUUUGGACAAAUUAGGAAAGUUUAGUCCGUGAUUUUUUAUACGUUAGGAAAGUGCUGCUUUGCUAAAAAAUGAAGAGAAAAAUAAACCAACGUGGAGAAUGGUGGUGGGAGGGGAGAUGAAAAAAACCAGUGAAAAAAAAGAUUGAAAGUGGUGGGACAAAAAUAAACCAUACUCAACCAACUCAGGCAUUAGGAGUAGAGAUAUGAAUCAACAGGAGAGCUGGCUUCUACCUCCGAUUUAUGGUGGUUCUUUCCUCUUCUUUUCGACCCCUUGCUCUCGUGCUUGCAAACCGAUAUUCACUUGUUCAACCUGAACUUGAGGAAUCACUUCGCUCACAUGGAAGGCAAACGAGUGAGAUAUCUGUAUUACCGGGUUAGCCACGUGGACAAUGAAAACUGGCCUAGCCUUUCUAUCCAUCAGGCUGUUGUACCGGCACCACCUAACGUCGGUAGAGUAGAGCAAGGCAGCAACCCAGGAACCUGGACAAGGAC
rnacentral:lncRNA from 1 species